UGGGACAGGUAACACAGGCUUUAGGCUGGCA
rnacentral:piRNA from 1 species